AUUGAACGCUGGCGGCAGGCCUAACACAUGCAAGUCGAGCGGAUGAAGGGAGCUUGCUCCUGGAUUCAGCGGCGGACGGGUGAGUAAUGCCUAGGAAUCUGCCUGGUAGUGGGGGAUAACGUCCGGAAACGGGCGCUAAUACCGCAUACGUCCUGAGGGAGAAAGUGGGGGAUCUUCGGACCUCACGCUAUCAGAUGAGCCUAGGUCGGAUUAGCUAGUUGGUGGGGUAAAGGCCUACCAAGGCGACGAUCCGUAACUGGUCUGAGAGGAUGAUCAGUCACACUGGAACUGAGCCACGGUCCAGAGUCCUACGGGAGGCAGAAGUGGGGAAUAUUGGACAAUGGGCGAAAGCCUGAUCCAGCCAUGCCGCGUGUGUGAAGAAGGUCUGCGGAUUGUAAAGCACUUUAAGUUGGGAGGAAGGGCAGUAAGUUAAUACCUGGCUGUUUUGACGUUACCAACAGAAUAAGCACCGGCUAACUUCGU
rnacentral:rRNA from 1 species